GACGAACGCUGGCGGCGUGCUUAACACAUGCAAGUCGAACGGAAAGGCCCUGCUUUUGUGGGGUGCUCGAGUGGCGAACGGGUGAGUAACACGUGAGUAACCUGCCCUUGACUUUGGGAUAACUUCAGGAAACUGGGGCUAAUACCGGAUAGGAGCUCCUGCUGCAUGGUGGGGGUUGGAAAGUUUCGGCGGUUGGGGAUGGACUCGCGGCUUAUCAGCUUGUUGGUGGGGUAGUGGCUUACCAAGGCUUUGACGGGUAGCCGGCCUGAGAGGGUGACCGGCCACAUUGGGACUGAGAUACGGCCCAGACUCCUACGGGAGGCAGCAGUGGGGAAUAUUGCACAAUGGAGGGAACUCUGAUGCAGCGACGCCGCGUGAACGAAGAAGGCUUUCGAGUCGUAAAGUUCUUUUAUAUGGGAAGAUAAUGACGGUACCAUAAGAAAAAGCCCCGGCUAACUACGUG
rnacentral:rRNA from 1 species